rnacentral:rRNA from 1 species
GACGAACGCUGGCGGCGUGCUUAACACAUGCAAGUCGAACGAUGAAGCUGGAGCUUGCUCCGGUGGAUUAGUGGCGAACGGGUGAGUAACACGUGAGCAAUCUGCCCUUGACUCUGGGAUAACUGCGGGAAACUGUAGCUAAUACCGGAUACGAGAUUUGGAGGCAUCUCCGGAUCUGGAAAGAAUUUCGGUCAAGGAUGAGCUCGCGGCCUAUCAGCUUGUUGGUGAGGUAAUGGCGCACCAAGGCGACGACGGGUAGCCGGCCUGAGAGGGUGACCGGCCACACUGGGACUGAGACACGGCCCAGACUCCUACGGGAGGCAGCAGUGGGGAAUAUUGCACAAUGGGCGAAAGCCUGAGGCAGCAACGCCGCGUGAGGGAUGAAGGCCUUCGGGUUGUAAACCUCUUUUAGUAGGGAAGAAGCGAAAGUGACGGUACCUACAGAAAAAGCACCGGCUAACUACGUGCCAGCCGCCGCGGUAA